rnacentral:lncRNA from 1 species
GGAAACCCUCUGCUAGGGUUUUUUUAACCCAACUUCUCCUAGCCGCCGCAACCACCUCGACGGACCAGAGGUCCUCCCCGGCUCCGAUUCGGCAGCAGGUUUCUUCCUCGCAGGUAAGUAUAUCCUUUCUCUUUUCUUUUGCUAUUUCGUUUAUUAAAUAGAAAACAACCCCUAAAACAUGAAAUAAGAAAAUAGUAAAAAGAGAAAACGAAAACACAAAUUCACCUUCAAAAUCUUUUGCUUUUCUGUCACUUUCUUUUUGUAUUUUUUCUCUUUUUAGUACAAAAUUUUUCUAACCCCGUUACAGAAAUCCAUUGGCCUUUAUAUAGCCCUCCUUAAAUCCUUUUACAACUGUUUUGUUGUGUAUUCGGUCACUGCCUGUUCUUGGUUUGUUUGUAGGACGAACGUGCAUGGUGAACGCAAGGGACCGCUGAACGUGGGUGAUUGCGACGUGGGGUGAUAGGGUCGUUGCUGCAGAUGGAGAACGUGCGGCGCGCCCUAGGGCUUCUACUUCCAUUGCUACUGAAAACAUGUUGUGGGCUAGGGUUAAUUUUGGGCCAAUUGGGCCAAAUGUAUUUGGGUCGUUGUUUUAUUUUGGUAGGCUAAAUGUUGGGACUGAUGUAGUGUGGGCUUUAGGUUUAGUUGGGCUCGGGCAAAAUUUAGGUCUUAC